rnacentral:rRNA from 1 species
GAUGAACGCUAGCGGCAGGCUUAACACAUGCAAGUCGAGGGGUAUUGGUUUUCGGACCAAGAGACCGGCGCACGGGUGCGUAACGCGUAUGCAAUCUACCUUUUGCAGAGGGAUAGCCCCAGAGAAAUUUGGAUUAAUACCUCAUAGUAUAGUACUUUGGCAUCAAGGAACUAUUAAAGUCACAACGGCAAAAGAUGAGCAUGCGUCCCAUUAGCUAGUUGGUAAGGUAACGGCUUACCAAGGCUACGAUGGUAGGGGUUCUGAGAGGGAGAUCCCCCANACUGGUACUGAGACACGGACCAGACUCCUACGGGAGGCAGCAGUGAGGAUAUUGGACAAUGGGCG